rnacentral:rRNA from 1 species
UGAGGAAUUUUCCGCAAUGGGCGAAAGCCUGACGGAGCAAUACCGCGUGAAGGAAGAAGGUCCGUGGAUCGUAAACUUCUUUUCUCAAGGAAGAAUAAAUGACGGUACUUGAGGAAUAAGCACCGGCUAACUCUGUGCCAGCAGCCGCGGUAAUACAGAGGGUGCAAGCAUUGUCCGGAAUGAUUGGGCGUAAAGCGUCUGUAGGUGGUUUCUAAAGUCUAAUGUCAAAUCCCAGAGCUCAACUUUGGACAGGCAUUGGAGCACUUAGGAGCUAGAGUGUGGUAGGGGUAGAGGGAAUUCCUUGUGGAGCGGUGAAAUGCACAGAGAUAAGGAAGAACACCAGUGGCGAAGGCGCUCUACUGGGCCACGACUGACACUGAGAGACGAUAGCUGGGGGAGC